GCACGGGGCCCCCCCAAGCCCUGCCGCCCGACCCCGCGCGCCCUCGGGGAGGGGGAGCCGGAGCGGCCGUCUAAGCGCAGGAGCAGGGCCGGCGGAAUCCGUGCGGCCCCUCGGGGCUCCGCCAGCGCCCAGCCGCCGGCCCUUUCUUUACACAGGUGGGGUCCAGAUAAAGAAAGAAAACUACAGCAAGAUGGAUUUAAAGGUGAUUCUAGAAGCAAUUCCCAAAUUUGGAGCUGUGGGAGGAAGAGGGUCAGGCUAGGAAGUAUGGAGCCUGUGCAUCUGGUAAGAGAGACAUGAGGGAAUGUUGAGGGCAAGGGGGGAGGGCAAGGUAACCCCAUCCACCCCCCAGCUCUGAACCCACCUCCAGGCAUACCAGGCCCCCAGGCCCAACAACAGGAAGAGGAGGCCCACCAGCAGCCCCAGGACCCAGAGUAGCUUCUGGAACAGAUGCAGGCGGUGCAAGGCUGGAAUACAAGGGUGAGAGGCUCAGGGGGCAGCUGUGGAUCCAGGCCUCCGAUGCUCCCCCCUCCAAGAUGAAAACUAUUCUAGCCCUCACUUUAUCUCAGAAGCUUUCCCACGCAACAGCGCUUCAAGCAACCAGUCUAGACUAGUCGGAUAAACUGACUACAGCAGAAAGGAUUCAGGGAAGACCUCAGAAGGAAGCCUUUGGACGGGAGAGCUAGGCCUCUCUACAGAGGGGCCUGGGAGAUGGACCCCCCACCUCUGGUUCCGAAGUAGGUAGAAGCAGACGCAGAGCCCAGGGCAUUGGAGGCAAAGCACACGUAUUCGCCCUGGUCACUGGUCCUCAGCUCCUCCAUGUCCACCCUCAGGGCAUUGGCGGUGGCCGUGACACGGAUGUGUGGUUCUGCAGGAGCCCUGUGGGGCUGGCUAGAGGCCACCAGCCUACUGCCGAGGUGGAGGCUCAGACUGGCUAGGGGCUCGCUGUCCACUCGGCAGUCCAGGAUGCCCUGGAUGCCACCCUCAGGCUCCACGAAGACCGUCAUGGUGGGCAUCUUGGGAGGGUCUGUGGGAACACAGAGGGGCAUGAUGAUUGCAGAAAACCAGUGCCAACUCCUCCCCUCCCGGGCCCCACGCAGGAUGACCCUGCAGCUCGCUGCACUAACAGAUAAGAGCCUAUUCCUCCACUCCUUGAUCUGUGACUUGCUCUGACCACUGGAAAGCAGAAGUGACAUUAUGUGACUUCAGGGCUAGGCCUCAAGGGGCCUCACUGCUUCGGCCCUCCUACAAACACAACCAUGUGGGAAGCCCAGGCCAGCCCCAGCUGCCAGCCGCGAGGAUGCAGCCAUCCUCCACCAUCGCGCUUCCGCUCAGCAAUUGGACGACAGCAGCCACAGGCGGUGAGACCACCGAAGACCUGCCCAGCAACGCCCGGCCUGAGUUGCUGACCCCCAGAAUUGUGAGCAAACACGACGGCUGUUGUUUGAAGCUCCAUAAUUUGGAGUAGCUUGUUACUGCAGCCAUGGCUGGCUGAUGCUGCGAGGGGCCUGGACGAGGGAUGGAGCAGGGACCCAGCACUCCGGGUGCACUCGCUCUCCAUACUCCUCAUGGGGCGAGGGGGCUGAUAUUUUACACGUGAGGAAAGCCAGGCAGGGAUGUGCAAGGUCCCACAAGCAGCCAGCGGGAGUUCUCCAACCCAGGUCUCCACCCCUGUGAAGUCUUUGCUCUUUGCAGACAGAAGAGGAGGACCUGAGGUGGGCAGGGGAGAUUCGGGCAGACUGAGGCCGGGGGCAGAGGGGGGUGUCCUACUCACACAGCACACGGAGCAUGACUGGAGCAGAAGUUGUGGCCCCACUGGGGAGCUCAGCCUGGCAGUGGUACGCCCCGGCUUGGGCGCGGGCCACGUGGGCAAAGACAAGGGUGGGCCCAGGCUCCACGUGUAGUCGCUGGCCAUUCCAGAACCAAGCGAAGGUGGAGUUGCCCAUGGGCCCGGGACCACCAGCGAGGCGACAGCUCAGGUUCAGCGGUGCACCCUCAGCCACGUCCAGCCCCGGCUCGGCCACCACACGCACGCCUGCAGGCCGAGGACCAGGAGGCGGUCAGGGAGCCUCUGGGUGGCAUCUGGGCAUCUGAGAGGCCUCGGUGCAUUAUGGGAAGGUCUGUUCUGAUUUGGGCCCCCCAAAGGUGAGAUUGUCUCUCCCAUAAGACUGAGAUCUCUUGCACUGGGGACCUCCGGGACAGGGUUGUGUGUCUCUCUUAACAAACCGGGCUUUCUGAUGGAUGGGGCUAUAUCUUGCUCUCAGAUGGGACUCCCCAAAGGUGGGGCUCCACCUAAUCCCUCACACUGAGCCCCCCUAAAGGUAGGGUUGUGUCUCUCUUCCCACCCCAGGCUUCCCCAGGGCAGGUCUGUGCCUCCUCUCCAGCCUGGGUUCUGUGAGGACGGGGUACUGUCUCCCCUGCACCCGAGGCAUCCUGCUACAGCUCCAUGCCUGCAGGGACCGCUCCAAGGGUGAGGCCGUUUCUUCCCCUCAGACUGGGCACCUGCCUCCAGGGAGAGCUGUGCCACUGCUGUCAGAUGGGGCAGGGCUCUAGCUACCCAUUCUGGUCAGCCAGGCCCUGUUGGGGGAGCGCCAUGCCUCAUAUGAACAUGGCCCCGCUGUGCCCGAGCCCCCUCUCCGCCCCCUUCGCCCACUCACCUUCUCCCUGCAGCUGCCCUGUGGUGCUGACUGAGCCCAGGAAGUUGUGGGCCGUGCACACGUAGGUGUCCUUGUCACCUGAGGGUACGUCUUGCACCUGCAGCCGCAGGGCAUUGCGGGCCACCUGGACGUGGCCUGUCCCGGAUGCCAAGCCGUGGACCCCAGGGCUGGUGACCAGCACCUUGCCAUCGCGGGACAGGGCCAGCUCAGCGGGUGGCUCGCUGUCCACAGUACACUGCACCACAGCCAUGGAGCUGACUCUGGAGUCCCGAAAGGAUGACAGGACAACAUCCCGAGGGGCAUCUGGGGACAUGACAGCACAUAGUUGGAGGCCUUGUUGGGAACCCCUGGACCAUCCACAGCCUACCUGCCUGGCACUGGGGAGGCUGAAGCCUCUGGACAAAAGGUCACUUCCUCGAAGUGACACCUCGUGGGCAGCUUCCCCCAGGCAGGGUUCACAGGACUCUAGGGUCUCUUUUCUCAUCACCUGUGUCCUUCUUUUCCCAACUGCCCAAUCUGAGGUCCGCUACAGUCCUGCGUCCACCCCCACGAAGGCCCAGAAGUGCCCUCCACCCGCUCUCAGCCUCGGCACCCCCAGCCAAGGACCCUGGCUCACAGUAGACUUGCAGGGCGGUGGGCCGGGAGCUGCGGGUGCCCUGGGCGUCCUGGACCUGGCAGGAGUAGGCACCCGCGUGAGCCCGUGUGGCCGCCGGGAACGAGAGGGCGGCGGCUGGCCCCUCCUGCAGCCAAUGGGCAUUGUGGUACCAGGCAUAGAGCGCAGGUGGGCGGGCAGCAGGGUCUUCACAGGUCACUGUGACGGGGGUCCCCUCGGGCACAGCGGCGGAUGGAGCCAGGAUCACCUGCACACCUGUCCCAGGGAGACCAGGGUCAGCGAGGCCCAACCAGAUACCACAGCCGCUCCCUCCUCCCCUGCUGGGCUUGGCCCGCCCGGCCUCACCCUCUAGCCGCAGCUCCAUGGAGGCAUUGGCCUGGCCCAGAGGACUGUGGGCGGAGCAGCUGUAGAGACCCUCGUCGCUGGGCCCGGGCUCCCACAACUCCAGGCGCAGGGCAUUGGGGACAGAGGCUGUGGUCGAGGAGGCCAGGAGGCGGCCAGCGUGGCUGAGGGCCAGCUGGGCGGGCGGGCGGCUGUCCACGGUGCACAGUACCUGGGCCAGCCGUCCGCCGCGGCUCUCUAGGAGGUAGGUCAGGCGCAGGCUGCGGGGUGCGUCUACAGGGACACCAAAGGAAACGGUUCAGAGACCGCAAUGAGGAGGCCAGUUGGCAGGUGACCUUCAAACCAGGAGGGCCCUGGCUCCCCAUCCCACGGGCCCCCCAUUGCCCAAUCUGGGGCCAUGCUCCUCUGCCCAGGAAGAACCUAUCCCCUCUGACCCCUGACUCAGCCCUCCUUGUCCCAGGCUUCAUCGAAUGGAUGGGGACUGAGUUCCUGGAUUGAACAUCUCUGGGGCUCUGGCCAUGCCCUUGAUCCCUGUGGGCUGCCGUCAUUCCUUUUUGCCCCACCCUGCAUCCAACCAAACUCACAGAGGACAUCCAGAGUGACAGGUCUGGAGAGGUGGGGUGCCUGGCCCGGAGUCACCACCCCACAGCGGUAGGAGGCAGCAUCUGUGACUGUGACAUUGGGCAGAAGGAUGGAGUGGGCACCUGGGCGUUGCUGCCCAUCCCGGUACCACGUGUAGGUGAGCUGGGUCAGGUUGGCGGUCCACACGAGGCACGUCAAGUUCACCAACUGCCCCUCCUGCACGACAGCCCUGGGCCACACCUGCACGCUCACAGCUGGGGAGGGAGGAGGGCACGGGGACACCAGUGAGACUGUGAAGCUAUGUAAAGCAAGCCACUUGUCUCCAUGAGGGAGGGAAGCCCCUCAGCUUCUGGGAGGCACAGGUGGCCCACCCCUACUGGGGGCUCGAGGUAAAGCUUGGGAAACAGCUCACCAUCUCUUAGGUGGUCCCAAGCAGGGUUCUGCAGGGCCCCCGGGUGCCCUGAGCCCUCCCUGACCCUAGUGGGUACAUGGGAGAAUGCAAGCCUCCCUGCCCUGUGGUGUUUUCUCCUUGAACACCCCCCUCCAUUUCUGAUUAGCUUUAUCCACUGGACGUCCAGGCAAACAUCUGUUUCUAAAAAAGGCUCUUCCAUAAGAGCCAAGUCUGGAGUCGCUUGCCCUAAAGGAGGCUGGGAACGGAGACUGUCCUUAUGUUCAGCCCGCCUUCCUGUGCCUCAGGCUUCCAGAACCCUCUCCAGUCUCCUCUCUUCUCUUAAAGGAAUCACCCAUGCACACACUCACACCCUCACACUGACCCUGGGCAUCGAAGGUGGCAGAGGCUGAGGCCUGGCCCAAGGUGUUGUUGGCCUGGCAGGUGUAGACGCCCUCAUCCUCCAGCACUGCACCGUGGAUCUCCAGGCGUAGCCUGCUGGGGGCCACAGCCACCUGCAGCCGGGGAGAGCUGCUUGCCAGCUCCCCUGUACCUUGUAGGGUGGAGGCCACGAGGUGGUCCCCGUGGAACAGUCGUAAGUGGGCUGGAGGGUCACUGUUCACACGGCACAGGAGGAGGCCCAGUCGCCCAGGGCCUGUGUCCAUCAGGGUGGUGAGCGUGGCCUGGCGAGGGGCAUCUACAGGAGCGGGGAGUGGUCAGGGCCCCUGGUUCCUCAUCUAGUGCUCUCUCAUGGAGGCAGUGCCCAGGGCCUGGGCUCCCCCAGCCCCUCCUCCCGCUGUGCCCUUGUUUCUUUCACCCCCCAAGAAACAUGGACAGGAUGAAAACUUACAGGACACGUGGAGGCUGACAGGAGCGGCCAGGCUCAUGGUGGCUGAGCCUGGAGCCUGGGCCUGGCAAUGGUAGGCCCCAGCUUGGCGCAGAGUAAUGGCUGCGAAGCGGAGCGUGGCCGAGUUUGACUCCGGGAGGGGCUGGCCAUCCUGAUACCAGAGGUAUGAGGUCCCCUCCAGGACCCCUGUGGGCACCUGGCAGCUCAAGACCACGGCCUGGCCCUCCUGGAGCUCGGGUGAUGGUGACACCUGGACCCAGGCUCCUGCAGGGAGAAACCAAGAGCAGGUGAGGGCCCUCCCCACACCCUCCCCCCCCAGCCUGGGGCUGUGUGUGUGUCCAUACCAGGGCCUCAAUCCUAUGUCCUGGAGCCACAGCCCCCCUACCAGACCACCACCAAGGGCCCCGCUUCAGCUCCACGCCUCCUCCUGUCCUGCUCCCAACUCCCCUGCACUGGGUCUGUCCUGGCCUUUACCACCCACCAACUCGAGCUACAGUUUCGCUCUGUCAGUCAUAUCUCACCUACCAGAAGGCCCAGCUUAUGUGACCUCUAACCCCGUGUCAGGGACAGCGCCUGCACAAGCUAGCUCCUGACAGAUGCUGGUUUGACCCCAUAAAGCACUGAAAUGGGAAGGAUUUAGGUCAUGCUAAGGGCCAUUGUCCUGAUAGUGAGCUGGACCCAGCUUGGAUGACCCAAGGCUAGUCACCAUGUGGUCUUGAGUCCUCCCCAGCUCAGCUCCGCACCCAGGCUCCGAGUCAUGAGAGCCCAAGAACUGGGGCUGUGUGUGCCUGGGUGGCUCAGUCAUUAAGCGUCUGCCUUCAGCUCAGGUCGUGAUCCUGGGGUCCUGGGAUCGAGCCCUGCAUCGGGCUCCCUGCUCAGCGGGAAGCCUGCUUCUCCCUCUCCCUCUGCCUGCUGCUCUGCCUACUUGUGCUCUCUCUCUAUCUCUCUGUCCAGUAAAUAAAAAAAUCUUUAAAAAAAGGGGGGGGCCCUGGGUGGCUCAGUUGUUAAGCAUCUGCCUUUAGCUCAGGUCAUGAUCCCAAGGUCCUGGGAUCGAGCCCCGCAUUGGGCUCCCUGCUCAGCGGGAAGCCUGCUUCUCCCUCUCCCGCUCCCCCUGCUUGUAUUCCCUCUCUCGCUGUGUCUCUCUCUGUCAAAUAAAUCGAUAAAAU